rnacentral:tRNA from 1 species
GGUAGGGUGGCUGAAGUAUAGCGGUGGCUUGUAGUCCCAUGUAUAGAGGUUUGAGUCCUCUCCCUAUCA